rnacentral:rRNA from 1 species
GACGAACGCUGGCGGCGUGGAUUAGGCAUGCAAGUCGGACGGUAAGGGCUUUAUCGUAAGAUAGAGUUUGAGAGUGGCGAACGGGUGAGUAACACGUAGGAAUCUACCCUUAAGACGGGGACAACCCAGGGAAACUUGGGCUAAUACCGGAUCGAGAGUGCGAGAGAUUGCAUUUAAAAGGAUGGCGAAAGUUGUCGCUUAGGGAUGAGCCUGCGGUCUAUUAGUUAGUUGGUGAGGUAAAAAACUCACCAAGGCGAUGAUAGAUAGGCGGCCUUAACGGGUGGUCGCCCACACUGGGAUUGAGAUACGGCCCCAGACUCCUACGGGAGGCAGCAGUCGAGAAUAGUCUACAAUUGGCCGGAAAGGCUGAUAGUGCGACGCCGCGUGAACGAGGGAGCCCUUCGGGUGUAAAGUUCUUUUCUAUACGAGCAGUGCUAUAUAUAUGGAUAGUAAUAUAUAGAGGGAUAGUAGUAUAGGAAUAAGCAACGGCUAACUCCGUGCCAGCAGCCGCGGU